GGGGAUUUAGCUCAGCGGCAUAAGCGCCUGCCUUGCAAGCAGGCAGUCGUGAGUUCGAUCCCCACUACCG
rnacentral:tRNA from 1 species